rnacentral:tRNA from 1 species
GCCGAGGUGGCGGAAUUGGCAGACGCGCACGGUUGAGGGCCGUGUGCCGCAAGGCGUACGAGUUCAAGUCUCGUCCUCGGCACCA